CUAACAUAAUUAAUUAGCAUCAAUAGAUUAGAAGGUGCAUUAAUCCAUCACAUGAUGAAUAGCUAGACACACCAAACAUUAUUGAUGAACAAUAAUUUUAGGAGCAACAAAUGCAAAAACCUGCAAUAGAGUUGUAGUAAGAUCGAACUAAAAGGAAGUCUUCCCUUGGUCGCUCAAGAAAGUAAGCAAGCCAUUUUGCUAUAUAUAGCUACAGAAAUUUCAGAAUUGAAGCCUGCUUAAUUUGCACUUAAAUCAUGGUUUUGUCAUCACCAUAUCCGGUUUAAGUUAAGAGCCAUUGAAGCAAUGGUUCAAGGGUUCCAUUUAAUAAAAAAUUUCAAGAAAAUUCUUUAUGAAAUGAAAAUUUCUCUUCUUUAACAAAAAAAACUCAUACAAAAUGAAAAUUGUUCAAGAUGCUACCUGUUUAUAGUAAUUUUAACCGUGAACCCUUAAUUAUUUCUCUUUGAAGUAGAGUAUAAGGAGAAACAAUUUGUCUGCUGCUGAUGUCUUGCUAGUGCUAGUAUAUGCAUGAAUUUGAUGAGAGGAAGUCAUGAAAACAUUAAGUACCAGUAGCACAUUUUUCUUUCCAAAACAAGGGAAAACUAUGGAAUUUAAAAGCAUUACGAACGAGCCCAGAAUCAACCUAGAUUCAGAGAACAGGGCCUUUUCACUUUUCAGUCAUUUCAAGCAAGAUUGAAAACAUUAUCAUGUUUCUCUCUCAAAAUGCAAGCCUGGAGUACAGUUGUAUAUAUUCAAAUUAAAAAUUUGAAGAGUUCAAUCUUAAUUAUAGAGAUCGUGGGACCAAAAUGACUUCUGUUACUUUAUUGACUCUCUCGGCUCACACACAACAGACAACUUGUUUUUCUCUUCAAAAUUUCUCCCUUGUCCUUCCACUUCCUGUCAGUUCCCCCAAAAUAAACCCAAAAUAAAGCAUUGCGAAGCAGAAAAAGAAAGUACCUGGCUUAUAAGAGUGGAAUCUAGCUUCUUUUUCGGAUCAUUGGUGCAGACUGUAGGGUUCUACAAGAUCAUGACAAGAUCCAGUUAAGGGCUAGAAUAUUCAAAGAAAAAAAGAAACAGAAAUCCAGCAGAGUUACCAGUAGAAGAUAUCAGAAGAAUAUAAUUUGAUUGUUCGAAGUUUCGAACUGCAAAGAAAGAAAUUAGGGUAAAAAUUUAGCUUUCCUUUUGCUUUCCCAAAUUUGCCGAGACAGG
rnacentral:lncRNA from 1 species